rfam:Camelus ferus unplaced genomic scaffold scaffold985, whole genome shotgun sequence.
AGCUUAGCGCAAUGGCAGUAUGGUAGCCAAUGAGGUUUAUCCAAGGCACGAUAACUGCUAAUUGAAAACUUUUCCCAAUAUCCCACCGUGACGACUUGAAAAUGCGCUACAGAAAUAAGCAUAUACGCC